rnacentral:sRNA from 1 species
UUUAGAAGCUUCGACUAAGGUUCGACUCGAGCGAAGCGAGAGAACGUUGCCGCAGGCAACGGCCCGAAGGGCGAGGCGCUUUAGCGCCGAGUAAUCCUUCCCCCACCACCA